CAGAUGUGGAAACUUGAACCCACACCUCCCGAUUUCAAAUUCAGUGCUCCUCAUAACUUACCUCUUCAACCAGAUGGGAAAACAGAGGUUUCCCAGAUUCCAGCCAGACUGGAUGCUGUGGUCAGCUGGAACAUGGACACCGUUUUUCAAUGUGAGCACCAAGACAGAGACUGGUGGUGCGGCUACAAGCCAAGGGAUGCGAGCGGCCACCUAGAGCUGGAAGAGGCAAAGAACCCGUGGCGCCUCCAGAGGGAGUAUGGCUCUGUCUGCAUCUUAACUGCAGCCCAGGGACAUUGACUGUGGACUUCCGAUUAAGAUAAAGUAUAAGUGAUAAGUGAGAUUAUAUAUCCAGUAAUGAAGUCUUCAACUUCAACUAUCAGCUACGAAUGUCUAGUUCCUGUAAAUGCAAUAGCAGAAGAUGAGCUAGAUAUGCUUGAAAAUGCUUAACUUAAAACGAAUGGCAAGAGUGUGGAACCCAGAGACACUGAAAAUGGGAAUGCAGACAAACUGCAACACCCUCUCAGAUCCCACCCAAGAAGCAACGAGUAAGCCUGAAAACUUGUCCAGCUGGGUUUUUUGGUUUUUUCACGGUAUGGUGUAGAGACUGAGAAGAGGGGGGCCGGGUUCCAUCGCUGGCU